rnacentral:rRNA from 1 species
UACGUAGGGGGCUAGCGUUGCUCGGAAUCACUGGGCGUAAAGGGUGCGUAGGCGGGUUAUUAAGUCAGAGGUGAAAUCCUGGAGCUCAACUCCAGAACUGCCUUUGAUACUGAUAGUCUUGAGUAUGGGAGAGGUGAGUGGAACUGCGAGUGUAGAGGUGAAAUUCGUAGAUAUUCGCAAGAACACCAGUGGCGAAGGCGGCUCACUGGCCCAUUACUGACGCUGAGGCACGAAAGCGUGGGGAGCAAACAGG